rnacentral:rRNA from 1 species
AACGCGAAGAACCUUACCUGGCCUUGACAUGUCUGGAAUCCUGCAGAGAUGCGGGAGGUGCUUCGGGAAUCAGCACACAGGUGCUGCAUGGCUGUCGUCAGCUCGUGUCGUGAGAUGUUGGGUUAAGUCCCGCAACGAGCGCAACCCUUUUCCUUUUUUGCCAGCGAGUAAUGGUGGGAACUCAAGGGAGACUGCCGGUGAUAAACCGGAGGAAGGUGGGGAUGACGUCAAGUCAUCAUGCCCUUACGCCAGGGCUACACACGUGCUACAAUGGUGGGUACAGAGGGCUGCAAGCUAGCGAUAGUGAGCGAAUCUCAAAAAGCCCGUCGUAGUCCGGAUUGGAGUCUGCAACUCGCUCCAUGAAGUCGGAAUCGCU